rnacentral:rRNA from 1 species
AUUGAACGCUGGCGGCAUGCCUAACACAUGCAAGUCGCACGAUUGGCGGACGGGUGCGUAAUGUCUGGGAAACUGCCUGAUACAGGGGGAUAACUCCUGGAAACGGUAGCUAAUCCCGCAUACCAUCAGAUGUGCCCAUAUUGGAUUAGCUAGUUGGUGGGGUAACGGCUCACCAAGGCGACUAGCCAUAGCUGGUCUGAGAGGAUGACCAGCCAAACUGUAACUGAGACACGGUCCAGAUUCCUGAGGGAGGCAGCAGUGGGGAAUAUUGCACAAUGGGCGAAAGCCUGAUGCAGCCAUGCCGCGUGUAUGAAGAAGGCCGUCGGGUUGUAAAGUACUUUUAGCGGGGAGGCGUUACCCGAAGAAGAAGCACCGGCUAACUCCGUGCCAGCAGCCGCGGUAAUAC